rnacentral:rRNA from 1 species
UUCUGUGGCUAUACCACUCUGAGUGUGCACGCUCUUCUGAUCUCAAAAGCUAAGCAGGGUCAGAUCUGGUUAGUACUGGAAUGGGAGACCACAUGGGAAACUGGGUGCUGUAGGCU